UCGGGUGUGGUGCACGGCGCACGGCAGCAAUUCAUGAUCUAUAAGGGACCGCAUAUGCUGCAACUCCGGGUUCGACUCCCGGCACCCGAA